rnacentral:rRNA from 1 species
UGAGUAACCUGCCCUUCACUCUGGGAUAACUCCGGGAAACCGGUGCUAAUACUGGAUACGACCUACUCGGGCAUCCGAUGUGGGUGGAAAGAUUUAUUGGUGAAGGAUGGACUCGCGGCCUAUCAGCUUGUUGGUGAGGUAAUGGCUUACCAAGGCGACGACGGGUAGCCGGCCUGAGAGGGUGACCGGCCACACUGGGACUGAGACACGGCCCAGACUCCUACGGGAGGCAG